AGCGUGUCGCGGAGCGUUCAUUGCGUCACAUACGUCUGCCGAAGUCGAUAGCGGAGGUGGUUGCACACGGCGGCUGUGCGCAACGUGUACGUGUACACGAUGUGAUAAAAACGGCAACUUAUCGCGUUGUCGACGCGGUAGAGGGGUAGAGGCUGCGGCGAUCUAGUUCCACCCACGCGCACGCGUAGAACUCGAUCGGGCCGGAGAUCCCGAUCUACCCCAAAUUUGAGCCGCUGAAUUAUGUCGGACCACCCGUUCGCUGUGGAGCUCUGUAAACGUGUUGAGCGCUAUCCGGAAUUAUACGAUAUAUCUCACGAAGGAUUUCACAACGAGAAUGCGCAGCGGCUCGCAUGGAAGGCGAUCGCCAGCGAGCUUGGAGCGCAACCGUCCAAGUGCAAAACGAAAUGGAAGGCCAUAAAACACCAGUUUGUCAAGGCAAGGAAAGACUGUACUACAGCGUGGGAAUUGCGGUCUUCACUGAAGUUUCUGGAUGAAGCAGCAAACAGAAAGACUAGCUCACUGACCGAUGAUGCACUAUUUAUCGUCACAAGAAGUGCUCUAGAAAGUGCCAAAGCUGGAAAGCC
rnacentral:misc_RNA from 1 species